rnacentral:hammerhead_ribozyme from 1 species
UUACUGAUGAAGAGUCCCAAACUAGGAUGAAACAGCUGUCCAGUAC